ACGGAGCUGGGAACUGUGGUGAC
rnacentral:piRNA from 1 species